rnacentral:rRNA from 1 species
UACGAAGGGGGCUAGCGUUGCUCGGAAUACUGGGCGUAAAGCGCACGUAGGCGGCUUCUUAAGUCGGUGGUGAAAUCCUGGAGCUCAACUCCAGAACUGCCUUCGAUACUGGGAGCUCGAGUCCGGGAGAGGUGAGUGGAACUGCGAGUGUAGAGGUGAAAUUCGUAGAUAUUCGCAAGAACACCAGUGGCGAAGGCGGCUCACUGGCCCGGUACUGACGCUGAGGCGCGAAAGCG